UACAGAGGGGGCAAGCGUUGUUCGGAAUUACUGGGCGUAAAGGGCGCGUAGGCGCCUUCUAAGUCGAACGUGAAAUCCCCGGGCUCAACCCGGGAACUGCGUCCGAUACUGGAAGGCUUGAAUCCGGGAGAGGGAUGCGGAAUUCCAGGUGUAGCGGUGAAAUGCGUAGAUAUCUGGAGGAACACCGGUGGCGAAGGCGGCAUCCUGGACCGGCAUUGACGCUGAGGCGCGAAAGCCAGGGGAGCAAAGCGGG
rnacentral:rRNA from 1 species